UCAAGCUACAUAGGGCACAUGAAGGAUGCCUUGGCAUCAGCAGGCGAAGAAGGACGCGUUAAGCUGCGAAAAGCCUCGGGGAGCUGCAUAAAAGCUUUGAUCCGGGGAUAUCCGAAUGGAGCAAUCCAGCAGAAGUAAUGUUCUGUUAUCUGCAACUGAAUCCAUAGGUUGCAGAGGCGAGACUCAGUGAAGUGAAACAUCUCAGUAACUGAAGGACAAGAAAUCAACCGAGAUUCCGCAAGUAGUGGCGAACGAACGCGGAAGAGCCUAAACCGCCGGGUUUACUCGACGGGGUUGCGGGACUUGAACAUGACAUGCAGCCGGUUAGGACAACCGUCUGGGAAGUCGGGCCAUAGAGGGUGACAGCCCCCUGUCCGAAAACCGAAAGCAGUCUACAAGUAUCCCAAGUAGGUCGGCACACGUGAAACUCCGACUGAAUCCGGGGAGACCACUCUCCAAGGCUAAAUACUAGCUGAUGACCGAUAGUGAAGAAGUACCGCGAGGGAAAGGUGAAAAAGUACCCCUAUUAGGGGAGUGAAAAGUAUCUGAAAUCAUGUGCCUGCAAAGUGUAGGAGCCCUUCGGGGUGACUGCAUGCCUUUUGCAUAAUGAGCUUGCGACUUACUUUAAGCAGCCAGGUUAAGCCAUAGGUGAAGCCGAAGCGAAAGCGAGUGUUAACAGCGCGUUAAGUUGCUUGAAGUAGACCCGAAGCUGAGUGAUCUAUCCAUGGUCAGGCUGAACCUCCGGUAACACGGAGUGGAGGGCCGAACCGGUGAGCGUUGAAAAGCUUUCGGAUGAACUGUGGAUAGGAGCGAAAGACCAAUCAAACUCAGUGAUAGCUGGUUCUCUUCGAAAUAUCUUGAGGGAUAGCCUUACGUAUGACUUGCGGGGGUAGAGCACUGAUUGUCCGCGGGACCUUACCGGGUUACCAACGACUGUCAAACUUCGAAUACCGUUAAGUUUUAGCGUAGGAGUUAGACUGUGGGGGAUAAGCUUCAUAGUCGAGAGGGAAACAACCCAGAUCGCCGUCUAAGGUCCCUAAUUUAAGCUAAGUGGUUUGAAGGAUGUGAAGUUGCGUAAACAACCAGGAUGUUGGCUUAGAGGCAGCCAUCAUUUAAAGAUCGCGUAAUAGCGCACUGGUCGAGUGAUUUUGCGCCGAAGAUGAUCGGGACUAAGCUUAAAACCGAAGACGCGGAUGUGCAGCAAUGCACGUGGUAGAAGAGCGUUGUAUGAGGAGCGAAGCGAAAAUGAAAAUGAUCGUGGACUUCAUACAAGUGACCAUGCAAGCAUGAGUAGCGAAAAACCGGAUGGAAAUUCCGGUCACCGUAAGACCAAGGAUUCCCGGGGAAGGUUCGUCCGCCCGGGGUUAGCCGGAUCCUAAGGCCAGGCCGAAAGGCGUAGUCGAUGGACAACGGGUUAAUAUUCCCGUGCCGCCUUAACGGAGUGACGGAGUGACGCAGUAUGCUAAGCGAGCUGGCUAUACGCCAGUCUAAUGUCGUAGGACGUCAGGGGUUAAAUGACCUGACAUCAAGUCUGAAAACGGAUGGGACUCGAAGCCUUCGGGUAACGGGGAUUCGCUGAUGCUUCGCUGACGAGAAAAGCUCCUAAACGUUGAAGUUUUGGCGUCCGUACCGCAAACCGACACAGGUGGUCGAGGCGAGUAGCCUCAGGUGCGCGAGUGAAACCACUUCAAGGAACUCGGCAAACCAGCCCCGUAACUUAGGGAGAAGGGGUGCCGAACGGGUGUAAAAGCCCGAACGGUUUCAACAAAGAGGCCGCGGCGACUGUUUAACAAAAACAUAGCUCUCUGCCAACUCGCAAGAGGAAGUAUAGGGAGUGACACGUGACCAAUGCCGAAAGGUCAAUCGGAUCCGUCAGCAGCAAUGCGAAGCGGUGAUGUGAAGCCCCGGUGAAUGUCGGCCGUAACUAUAACGGUCCUAAGGUAGCGAAAUUCCUUGUCGGGUAAGUUCCG
rnacentral:rRNA from 1 species